rnacentral:tRNA from 1 species
GGAGAAGUGUCUGAGUGGCCGAAAGAGCUCGAUUGCUAAUCGAGUGUACGUACGCGUACCGAGGGUUCGAAUCCCUCCUUCUCCG